rnacentral:rRNA from 1 species
UACGUAGGUGGCAAGCGUUGUCCGGAUUUACUGGGUGUAAAGGGCGUGUAGCCGGGCUGACAAGUCAGAUGUGCAAUCCGGGGGCUCAACCCCCGAACUGCAUUUGAAACUGUUGGUCUUGAGUAUCGGAGAGGCAGGCGGAAUUCCUAGUGUAGCGGUGAAAUGCGUAGAUAUUAGGAGGAACACCAGUGGCGAAGGCGGCCUGCUGGACGACAACUGACGGUGAGGCGCGAAAGCGUGGGGAGCAAACA